ensembl:snRNA U6 U6 spliceosomal RNA
GUGCUCGCUUUAGCAGGAUAUUUACUAAGAUUGGAACAAUACAGAGAAGAUUAGCAUGGCCCUUGCACAAAGAUGACACACAAAUUCAUGAAGUGUUCCAUAUUUUU